AGAGUUUGAUCCUGGCUCAGGAUGAACGCUAGCGACAGGCUUAACACAUGCAAGUCGAGGGGCAGCAUGAUUUGUAGCAAUACAGAUUGAUGGCGACCGGCGCACGGGUGAGUAACGCGUAUGCAACUUACCUAUCAGAGGGGGAUAGCCCGGCGAAAGUCGGAUUAAUACCCCAUAAAACAGGGGGUCCCGNAUGGGAAAUAUUUGUUAAAAGAUUCAUCGCUGAUAGAUAGGCAUGCGUUCCAUUAGGCAGUUGGCGGGGUAACGGCCACCAAACGACGAUGGAUAGGGGUUCUGAGAGGAAGGUCCCCCACAUUGGUACUGAGGACACGGACCAAACUCCUACGGGAGGCA
rnacentral:rRNA from 1 species